GAUGAACGCUAGCGGCAGGCCUAAUACAUGCAAGUCGAACGGUGUCUUCGGACAUAGUGGCGCACGGGUGCGUAACACGUAUGCAACCUACCUUACAUUGGGGGAUAGCCUUUCGAAAGGGAGAUUAAUACCGCAUAAGACAGUAGCUGGGCAUCCAGCAGCUGUUAAAGAUUUAUCGAUGUAAGCUGGGCAUGCGUCCAAUUAGCUGGUUGGUGAGGUAACGGCUCACCAAGGCAAUGAUUGGUAGGGGAACUGAGAGGUUAAUCCCCCACACUGGCACUGAGAUACGGGCCAGACUCCUACGGGAGGCAGCAGUAGGGAAUAUUGGGCAAUGGACGCAAGUCUGACCCAGCCAUGCCGCGUGCAGGAUGAAGGCGUUAUGCGUUGUAAACUGCUUUUAUACAGGAAGAAACGACUCUUGCGAGAGGCAUUGACGGUACCGUAUGAAUAAGCACCGGCUAACUCCGUGCCAGCCGCCGCAGUAAGAC
rnacentral:rRNA from 1 species